UUUAAAUUGUGUUUACAACUUGAAUAACAUCUCUGUUGCAAUGAAAAUUCUGGGAGGGUCAAUUCUCCCCUUCCCUUUCUCUCAAGCAGGGAGGGUACAUAUCACAAAUAAAAACAGAAAGACAGGCACAAAUUGGCAAAAUAUCUCCAA
rnacentral:ribozyme from 1 species